rnacentral:misc_RNA from 1 species
UUCUUCACGCUCGAAGGUCACGGAGAUCAUUACGAAAAACGUGUAAUUCGACGGCGGAGAGGUUGGGUGAGGACGACACGUGUUACCUCAUUAUCAAGCAGGUACAAUAGCCGCAAGGCGUGAGAGGUGAAUCAGGGUGAGGAAAAGUCGUAUAUAAGGAGAGAGAAAAGGUGUUUGGAAGCAGUUGAGUGAGCAUCUCCGACACGGCAACAUCUGCUGUGCACUAUUUGUCACUAACUGCAUUCUUCAUUGUGUAAUUAGUUCGUAAUCAAAGUAAUCAUGAUUUAAGUACAGUAUGGCGCAAUGCUGCUGUUGGAUGUUGCAUCGUUGAUGGCUGGGUCGACAAAGCUCUGGUUAACCGAUGUCUCCUGGGUAUGGCGAAUAUUGAAUCACACCAUGUCCGUCUUGUUACUCAAUAUCAACCAACACAUCUCCGGCUUACUUUUUCAUCACCAGUUUGCAAUUACGGAUUUAUGCUGUUCUUGAUUGUUGUCUUCAAAUACUACACCAUCCAGGCACCAGAGUAUUACACUACAACUAUUGCUGGCCCAGUCCCGAAUACUUCACUAAGCCCCUGGAAUACUACAUUACAUCCUACGUUGCCCCAGCUUACUACACUACAACAUACGCAGCCUCAGCUCACCACCCCGCAGCUCCCCACUAUUACACCUCCAAGGCAACUGAGUACUACACGACUGCUUGUGCUGCUCCAACCUUCUAUAUAUAGACUCAAGUAAUACUCUGCUUCAGUUACCCCACCGAGGCUCCAACUUACUAAAAUAAAAAAAAAAGGAAGAUAGAAAAAAGGAAGGAAUUUUUGUUGUGUUCCCAUCCUCAGCAACGUCAACUUGCAGAAGGAAAGGCCAGUUUUCACUUUCGAAGGUAAAUACCCACAAGGCUUAGGAGGUGAGGGUGAGAAAAUAAUUCGUAUAAAAUGAGAGAGAAAAGGAUACAGACAUCAAUUGAGUGAGCAUCACCGACACGUCAACAACUGCUGUGAACUACCUGUAUCAACUGGCUUCUUCAUCGCAUUACCAGCUCGCAGCAAUUAUUCGCAGUUAUGGUCAACUUUAAUGUCGUGCUGCUGUCGGAUGUUGUAUCGUUGAUGGCUGGGUCGACCACUAGUGUACCAAUGUCUUUUGGGUACGGAUACCAAACCGCAAUGCCGACGCCCUACUACACAACAACCAUUUCGCAAUCAUGGUAAAUUAUGGCGUAAUGCUGCUGUUGGAUGUUGCCCGUUGAUGGCUGGGUCAACAACUGGUGUACCGAUGUCUCCUAGGUAUGGCGAAUAUUGAAGCACAGCAUAUCCGUCUUAUUACUCAACAUCACCGACGCUGCUUCAGCUUACUACACCAAGGCUCCAAAGUACUCCACCACCAAUGUUCCAGAGUAUUACAAGUUGAAUCGCAGGAGAGAAAAGGUGAAAUAAUCAGUCGAGUGAUAAUCUCCAACACGACAGCAACUAUUUGGCUUUGCACUAUUUGUCGUCAACUGCAUUCUUCGUCGUAUCACCAGUAUGCAAUCACGGGCCGAAACUAUGGCGUUAUACUGCUAUUGAUUGUUGUCCUCAAGUACUUCACCACCGAGGUUCCAGAAAAUUUCACUGCAAUUUAUGCUGCCCCCCAGCUGCAGUACCAAAGAGCCUGAGUACUACACCGUGGCUUCCAAGUACUAUACCACCAAGGCACCGAAGUUAUACACGACUACGUAUGCUGCCCCAACCUGCUAAACCGUGACUCAAAAGUGUUACUCUGCUUCAGUUACUACACCGAGGCUCCAACUUACUGUACCACCAAAGCUGCUGAAUACUAUACCGAAGCGCCCAAGUACUACACCUCCAAGGCUACAGAAUGUUACACCCAUGCUGCAUCGAGCUACUACACCGCAGCACCGAAGUAUUAUUGUGCCCAGAACCCGAGUACUUCACCGAGGUUCUGGAUGACUACACUACAACCUACGUUGCCCCAGCUCACUACACCGUGGCUCCCAAGUACUACAACAACGAAUCACCUGAGCACGACUACGUGUGCUGCCUCAACCUACUACACCGAGACUCCCAAGUAUUACUCUGCUUCAGUUACUACACCGAGGUUCCUACUUACUUCACGGCCAAAACGGGUGAAUACUACGCCGAAACGCCUAAAUACUACUCUGUCCCGAGCUACACAACCACAACGCGCGGCGGCGGAGUAUUUCGUAGCCCCAAAUCAUUACCCAAUGUGAACCACCUGUAUCAACUGGCUUCUUCAUCGCAUUACCAGCUCGCAACAAUUGUUCGCAGUUAUGGUCAACUUUAAUGUCGUGCUGCUGUCGGAUGUUGUAUCGUUGAUGGCUGGGUCCACCACUAGUGUACCAAUGUCUUUUGGGUAUCGAAACCGGAUACCAAACCGCGACUUACCGACGUCCUACUACACAACAGCAACAUACGCUUCAGCCGGUUAUUACAUCAAGGCGCCAAGGAAUUACACCACAACUUAUGAUGCCCCGAUCUACUGUAACGAACGCCCUGAAUUACAGAUAUCCUUCAGUUGCUGCAAGCAUUAACUGGUUUCGUGCUGCUUUUGAAUGUUGUGCCUUGAAUGUUGCUGUCUUACUACACAACAUACGUAACGACCUGUUGCUACAACGGGACUCCAACUACUACACCGAAAAGGCUGAAUGUUACACAAGGACAGGUUUCUGUUUACUACACCACCAUCGCCCUCGAGUGUUACGCUGCCCCCAACCGCUACACUGAAAUUCCGAAGUACUACACCAUCGAAGGAAAACCAAUUCGCAUUCAUGGAUUACUAUGGUGUUGUGCUGCGGUGGUGUUGCUGAGUGUUGUAUUGUGAUGGCUGGGUCGACCAUGGGUGUACCGAUGUCUUCUGGUUAUGGUGGUUUUCAAGUACUAGAAGCUAUAGUUAGUAGCUAGCAGCCAAGUACACCACGUUGCUGCCUUAGUACUUAACAACGUCUACAUUCGCAGCACCUACUUAGUACACUGAUGUUCGUAAAUACUGCACAUCCAAGGUUCCUAGAGUACUUCACGAAUAUCUACGCUGCUCCGAGAUAAUGCACGGAAGUAUCACUCUACCCCGAGUUACAUCAACAAAACGUCUGAAUACUACACUGACGAAAUACUACACCACCAAAGCUAAGUAUUACACCGAGGCUGCUGCUUAUUAAACCAACAAAGCGGUUGAGUACCGAGGGGUCCAAGUACUACACUUCAACCUACUGCAGAGCAGUAUUUGUCAACAACUGCCAUAAUCGUAUGAAACAAUUGUGGCUAACUAUGGUGUUGUGCGGUGGGUUUUGCAUCGUUUAUGGCUGGGUCGACAACUGGUGUAUCGAUGUCUCCUGAUUUACUACACCAAGGCUCCAAAGUACUCCACCACCAAUGUUCCAGAGUACAAGCUGAAUCGCAGGAGAGAAAAGGUGAAAUGAUCAGUGAGUGAUUAUCUCCAACGCGGCAACAACAACUGCUGUGCACUAUUUGUCAUCAACUUCUUUAUUCAUCGUAUCACAAGUGUGCAAUCACGGUAUACAAUGGUGUUUUGCUGCUAUUGAUUGUUGUCCUCAAGUGCUACACCACCAAGGCACUGAAGUUAUACACAUCUACGUCAGCUGCCCUAACCUGGUAAAACGGGACUUCAAAGUAAUACUCUUCUUCAUCAGUUAUUACACCGAGGCUCCAACUUACUGUGCCACCAAAGCAGCUGAAUACUAUACCGAAGUGCCUAAAUACUACACAUCCAAGGCUACAGAAUAGUUCACCAUAUCUUAUUCUGCCUCGAGCUACUUCACCGCCCUAAAGUAUUAUUCUGCACCGAGCCUGAGUACCUUCAACAAGGCUCUGGAGUACUACACUACCACCUACGUUACUCCAGCUCACUAAACCGUGAUUCCCAAGUACUACACCAAUGAACCACCUGAGUACUACACGACUACGUAUGCUGUCUUGCCUCAACCUACUACACCGAGACUCCAAAGUAUUACUCUGCAUCAGUUACUACACCGAGGUUCCUACUUAUUUCACUACCUGAGAAGUUGAGCAUUACGACGAAGUGUUUAGUAUUACUCUUCCCCGAGUUACACAAUCACAACGGAGGUGGUGGUGUACUUCGUAGCCAAAUAACACAGCUGCUCCUUCCUACUAAAUUGAACUACAAUACUACAUCGAGACUCCAGUUUACUACACCAGAACCUACGCUACAUCUAACUACUACACUUAAACUACUGCAAUCUUCUUCGUAGCAUCAGUUCGCAUUCAUUGGUAAAUUAUGGUGAAAUGUUGCUUUUGGAUGUUACAACGUUGAUGGUUGGGUCAACAAUUAGUGGACCGAUAACUGGGGAUAUGGCGAAUAUUAAAGCACAACACAUCCAUCUUGUUAAUCAGUAUCAGCCAACACAUCUCCAGCUUACUUAUUCAUCACCAGUUUGCAAUCAUAGAAUACUGCUAUUCUGAUUGUUCAAAUUCUACGCCAACCAACCUCCAGAAUAUAACACUGCAAGUUUUACUGGUCCAGUAAAAAUUCGCCAGGUUACAAAUACUUCCUCAACGUCCAAAUACUACAUUAUUUAUGGUAAAAAUAU